rnacentral:rRNA from 1 species
UACGUAGGGUCCGAGCGUUGUCCGGAAUUACUGGGCGUAAAGAGCUCGUAGGUGGUUUGUCGCGUUGUUCGUGAAAACUCACAGCUUAACUGUGGGCGUGCGGGCGAUACGGGCAGACUUGAGUACUGCAGGGGAGACUGGAAUUCCUGGUGUAGCGGUGGAAUGCGCAGAUAUCAGGAGGAAGACCGGUGGCGAAGGCGGGUCUCUGGGCAGUAACUGACGCUGAGGAGCGAAAGCGUGGGGAGCGAACAGG